AUUGUGUGUCUUAAUUUCAUUGUGCGACUAGUCGCACAAUACAUUUGCCCAAAGUUCGUCAAAAUGUGUCUUGUGCAACUUUAAACCUAUCUGGAGAAGUCGCACAACGUUUUUGUCCAAAGUGUGUCCAAAGGAUGUCCAUGUAAAACUGUCUAUGCGAUGGACGAGACCGUAACUUUUAUUUUUGCAAGUGUCUGUGAAAGUUUGAGCGUCUAUAUUUGAGGCAAUCAGAAGCCUGUUUAUAAAAAAAACCGAGCCAAUGAACACCAGGCUUUCUAAUCGACGCAUGCGCGUGCACCCGCUUGUUGGACAUGUGCAGUGGGACUGUCAAACGUUGUUUAUCAUAAUGGAUAGCGGAUUUAUAUUUUAUAGAACCAUAUGUGAGUGGCUUUACAGAAACAACCAAAGAACUUGGAGACCUUCUUAAAUGAUGUAGAGUUUGCACUGAAGGAGGGGUUCUUAAAGGAUGUAGGUCAAGAUACAUCACCCACAGCCAGUAAAUAGGUGUGCUCAUCAACAGGUCAAGAUACAUCGCCCACAGCUGGUCAAGAGGUGUGCUCAUCGGCAGGUCAAGAUACAUCACCCACAGCUAGCCAAGAUGUUUGGCCAUCAGCACAUCAAGAUACAUCCCCUACAGCCAGUCAAGAGGUUUGCUCAUCAGAACGUCAAGAUACAUCACACACAGCCAGUCAGGAGGUGAACCUUAGGAAAUACACUGCAACAUUAAGCCAGAAGCAUGGACGAAGAUGACCACACUAUAUCAGAUGAGGAUGAAGAGGAAUAUGAGGGAAAAAGAAAAAGGAAGCCCCCCAAAAAGGCUGCAAAACGUCAGAAAUUCACAGAGGUAGAAACAGAGGAAAUAAAAACUUACUUUAGUGAAUAUCUAAAAAGUGGAAUUUGUCCGCGGAAACAGCAGGUUGAAGAUGCCAAACAGAAAAGUCGUAAGAAAAAUGGGCAAAUUUGGAAAAGGUCAAACGACAAGAUAAUUAAGAAAAUUAGUGCAAUGAAUCAUAAGAAAAAAUAAAAAACAUG